GAUUUCAACUAAAAAAGUCAUCAACAAAAAAGUUGUAUAACUCAUCAAGAUCUAUAAUUUUUAUUUUUGUCAUUUCUUCAUCAGACAAAGUGAUAGUAACAUUGUUCAGAAAAUUCACAUAUCUCUCAUCUGGUUUAUAAACUAUAACAAAGAUAUGUAAUUUUUUUUGAACAAUGUUACUAACACUUUGUCAGAUGAAGAAAUGGCAAAAAUAAAAGUUAUAGAUCUUGAUGAGUUAUACAAUUUUGUUGUUGAUGACUUUUUUAGUUGAAAUC
rfam:Oryza glumipatula chromosome 4, whole genome shotgun sequence.